rnacentral:hammerhead_ribozyme from 1 species
AUCCAGAUGAUGAGCCCCAAAUAGCACGAAAUGCGCAUCCUGCAU